GUAAUAUUCUCUAUCUCUUUAUCUAUCUAUCUAUCUCUUUCCUUUUGUUCCUUCGUCUCUUUCGUGUUCCCAUUUUUUCUCCUCUAUCUAUCUAUCUAUAUCAAUUUAUCAAUCUUAUCUUUCCUUCCUUCUCCUUCUCUCUGUUCCUUCAUCUCCUCAGUCUUCUCUUCCUCAACAACGUCUCCAGAACUUUAAUUACGCAGUCUCAUAAUGAUAAAACUGGGCACCUGGAGACACCUGGGGAACGUAAUCUAAGGUAAACAGGAUGCAACACCUGUCCUGGCUGUGUCCUGGGCUGAUGCGUUACCCCUCACCACAGCCUCAAGGGACAAUGGAGCGGAGACGUGCACUGAGGCCGCGCGCAGCUCAACUUGUGUCCCCAACUUUACGUGUCUGGCACUCUCCUGUGGGCCAUGCAACAAGAACUCCUGCCCCGACGUGACCUACUGCAAGCACGGGACCGCUCUGUCUGUCUGUAACUGCUGUGAACUGUGUAGAAAGGGCCCCGGUGACACCUGUGGCGGGCCGUGGGG